CCUGCCCCAAGAGGCAUUGCGGGUGUGGCUGCUGUGUCACACGGGUGUCAGUAGGUGACAUCGAGGAGAGAGGCUAUGUCUAUGCUCAGUUUUCCGACCUAUGAACAUCUGAAAGAGUCGCCUAACAUU
ensembl:snoRNA